rnacentral:rRNA from 1 species
AUUGAACGCUGGCGGCAGGCCUAACACAUGCAAGUCGAGCGGAUGACGGGAGCUUGCUCCUUGAUUCAGCGGCGGACGGGUGAGUAAUGCCUAGGAAUCUGCCUGGUAGUGGGGGACAACGUUUCGAAAGGAACGCUAAUACCGCAUACGUCCUACGGGAGAAAGCAGGGGACCUUCGGGCCUUGCGCUAUCAGAUGAGCCUAGGUCGGAUUAGCUAGUAGGUGAGGUAAUGGCUCACCUAGGCGACGAUCCGUAACUGGUCUGAGAGGAUGAUCAGUCGCACUGGAACUGAGACACGGUCCAGACUCCUACGGGAGGCAGCAGUGGGGAAUAUUGGACAAUGGGCGAAAGCCUGAUUCAGCCAUGCCGCGUGUGUGAAGAAGGUCUUCGGAUUGUAAAGCACUUUAAGUUGGGAGGAAGGGCAGUAAGCUAAUACCUUGCUGUUUUGACGUUACCGACAGAAUAAGCACCGGCUAACUCUGUGCCAGCCGCCGCGGUAAAAC